AUAAUAUUGUGUUCUCUCCAGGUUGGUCCAGGUGUCUAUAGGUUCUGAUAUAAUGUUGUGUUCUCUCCAGGUUGGUCCAGGUGUCUAUAGGUCCUGAUAUAAUGUUGUGUUCUCUCCAGGUUGGUCCAGGUGUCUAUAGGUCCUGCUAUAAUGUUGUGUUCUCUCUAGGUGUCUAUAGGUCCUGAUAUAAUGUUGUGUUCUCUCCAGGUGUCUAUAGGUCCUGAUAUAAUGUUGUGUUCUCUCCAGGUGUCUAUAGGUCCUGAUAUAAUGUUGUGUUCUCUCCAGGUGUCUAUAGGUCCUGAUAUAAUGUUGUGUUCUCUCCAGGUGUCUAUAGGUCCUGAUAUAAUGUUGUGUUCUCUCCAGGUUGGUCCAGGUGUCUAUAGGUCCUGAUAUAAUGUUGUGUUCUCUCCAGGUUGGUCCAGGUGUCUAUAGGUCCUGAUAUAAUGUUGUGUUC
ensembl:lncRNA